rnacentral:rRNA from 1 species
CCGGCGACCGGCGCACGGUGAGUAACACGUAUGCAACCUGCCCUCGUUCAGGGGGACAACCGUUCCGUAAACGGGAGGGCGUAAUCCCGCGUAUAUCGGUUUCGGGCAUCCGAGAUCGAGGAAGAUUCAUCGGAAGAGGAUGGGCAUGCGGCGCAUUAGCUUGACGCGGGGUAACGGCCCACCGUGGCGACGAUGCGUAGGGGUUCUGAGAGGAAGGUCCCCCACACUGGUACUGAGACACGGACUAGACUCCUACGGGAGGCAGCAGUGAGGAAUAUUGGUCAAUGGGAGAGAUCCUGAACCAGCCAAGCCGCGUGAGGGAAGACGGCCCUAUGGGUUGUAAACCUCUUUUGUCGGAGAACAAAACCCGGGACGUGUCCCGGGCUGCGUGUAUCCGAAGAAAAAGCAUCGGCUAACUCCGUG